rnacentral:ncRNA from 1 species
CAAAGGCUUGGUCCUGACUUUUCUGUCAACUUUAACCCAACUUACACAUGCAAGUCUCCGCACCCCCGUGAGAAUGCCCCACAGUUCCCUAGUUGGGAACAAGGAGCCGGCAUCAGGCACAGUUUAAUACUUUAGCCCAAGACGCCUUGCUUAGCCACACCCUCAAGGGAACUCAGCAGUGACAAACAUUAAGCCAUAAGUGAAAACUUGACUUAGUAAGGUUUAAGAGGGCCGGUAAAACUCGUGCCAGCCACCGCGGUUAUACGAGAGGCCCAAGCUGACAGACACCGGCGUAAAGAGUGGUUAGGGAUGACUAACAAAUUAGGGCCGAACGCUUUCAAGGCUGUUAUACGCACCCGAAAGUAAGAAGAACAACAACGAAAGUGGCCUUAUAAGACCUGAACCCACGAAAGCUAAGGCACAAACUGGGAUUAGAUACCCCACUAUGCCUAGCCCUAAACAUCGAUGGCCUAAUACUUGAGCCAUCCGCCAGGGAACUACGAGCAUUAGCUUAAAACCCAAAGGACUUGGCGGUGCUUUAGAUCCACCUAGAGGAGCCUGUUCUAGAACCGAUAACCCCCGUUCAACCUCACCUUUCCUUGUUUAACCCGCCUAUAUACCACCGUCGUCAGCUUAUCCUGUGAAGGACUUUUAAUAAGCAAAAUUGGUAAAACCUAAAACGUCAGGUCGAGGUGUAGCGUACGGAAAGGGAAGCAAUGGGCUACAUUCCCUACAUUAGGUAACUACGAACGAUAAAUUGAAAAAUCUAUCUGAAGGAGGAUUUAGUAGUAAGAAAGGAAUAGAGAGCCUUCCUGAAACUGGCCCUGAAGCGCGCACACACCGCCCGUCACUCUCCCCAAGCUCCGACCACCUUAAUAACUAAAAAAUUAACUCUGCUAAGGGGAGGCAAGUCGUAACAUGGUAAGUGUACUGGAAGGUGCACUUGGAUAAAU